rnacentral:rRNA from 1 species
AGAUUAAGCUAAUAAGGGCUUACGGUGGAUACCUAGGUACCUGGAGCCGAAGACGGACGUGCCAAGCUGCGAAAAGCCGCGAGUAGCUGCUAAGAAGCGUAGAUACGCGGAUAUCCUAAUGGGGAAACCCGGCGGUCGAGAGGGCCGUCAUCAUAUAGUGAAAGAAGUAGCUAUAUGAAGGGAACCGGGGGAAGUGAAACAUCUAAGUACCCCGAGGAAAAGAAAUCAAAAGAGAUUCCCUAAGUAGCGGCGAGCGAAAGGGGAAGAGCCUAAACACAUUUAAUGUAAGGCUACAGCCGUUGUUAAAUGUGGGUUUAGGAUAAUCAUGAGUGAGACUGUAGAAUCACAAAGGCAGUUGAAUCUUUAGCCGAAUGACCUGGGAAGGUCAGCCAGAGAGAGUAAAAGCCUCGUAGGUGAAAAGGAGAGACACCUUAGAUUAUCCAGAGUACCACGGGACACGAGGAACCCUGUGGGAAGAAGGGAAGACCAUUUUCCAAGGCUAAAUACUACCAGGUAACCGAUAGUGAACAAGUACCGUGAGGGAAAGGUGAAAAGAACCCCGUGAGGGGAGUGAAAUAGAAUAUGAAACCGUAAGCUUACAAGCAGUGGGAGGACUAUUAGAAAGUCUGACCGCGUACUUUUUGUAGAACGGACCGGCGAGUUAUUCUUAGUAGCGUAAGGUUAAGCCAGAAAGGUGAAGCCGCAGCGAAAGCGAGUCUGAAUAGGGCGCAAGUUACAAGGAAUAGACCCGAAGCCAGGUGAUCUACCCAUGACCAGGGUGAAGCGGGAGUGAGAACCCGUGGAGGCCCGAACCAGGUGAUGUUGAAAAAUCAUUGGAUGAGUUGUGGGUAGGGGUGAAAGGCCAAUCGAACCUGGAGAUAGCUGGUUCUCCUCGAAAUAGCUUUAGGGCUAGCCUCAAGGAAUAAAACUAGGCGGUAGAGCACUGAUUGGACUAGGGGCCCAACAAGGUUACCGAAUCCAUUCAAACUCCGAACACUUAAGUUUAUAAGCCUUGGGAGUCAGACUACGUGGGAUAAGCUUCGUAGUCGAAAGGGAAACAGCCCAGACCACCAGUUAAGGUCCCAAAGUACAGACUAAGUGGGAAAGGAAGUGAGGUCGCAAAGACAACCAGGAUGUUGGCUUAGAAGCAGCCAUACAUUUAAAGAGUGCGUAAUAGCUCACUGGUCGAGCGUCCUUGCGCCGAAAAUGUAACGGGGCUAAAGUCUGUCACCGAAACUGUGGAGUUUAGAGGUUGGAGGUUAGAGGUUAGAAGUUGGAGUCCGGGCGAAAAACCUGGGCAAAAACCUUUACGGUUGAAGUUAUGAGGUGAAAAAUUGAUAAAAAGCUAUGAAGAUUUAGAAGUUUAUCAAAAGGGAUAUAAAUUAGCCUUGAAAAUUCACCAACUAACACAACAAUUACCAAAGACCGAGAGAUAUGAAUUAGGAAGUCAAAUGAGAAGAGCAGCAGUAUCGAUACCUGCCAAUAUAGCAGAAGGCUAUGGAAAAAAAGAAUCAAGUGCAGAGUUUAGAAGGUUUUUAUUAAUGAGUUUAGGUUCAUGUAAUGAAUUACAGGUAUAUGUAAAAAUGUGCAAAGACUUAAAUUACAUUAAUAAAGAAAUUGCUGAAAAACUUCUUAAAAGUUAUGAUAUACUAGGAAGACAGUUAAAUACCAUGAUCCAAAAAUGGGUUUAAUGUUUUUCCAACUUCCAACUUCCAAUCUCCAACUUCUAAAUUGGUAGAGGAGCAUUGUAUAGUGGAAGAAGCUGUACCGUAAGGAGCAGUGGACGGUAUACAAGAGAGAAUGCCGGUAUGAGUAGCGAAAAGAGGGGUGAGAAUCCCCUCCGCCGAAAGUCUAAGGUUUCCUGAGGAAGGCUCGUCCGCUCAGGGUAAGCCGGGACCUAAGCCGAGGCCGAAAGGCGUAGGUGAUGGAUAAUUGGUAGAGAUUCCAAUGCCGCUAUUAAUCGUUUGAAUGAAGUGGGGACACGGCAAGAAAGACAAAGCACACGACUGGAGGUGUGUGCAGAAGCCUAAGGUAGGAAUAAAGAGGCAAAUCCCUUUAUUUAACUAUCGAAGGUGAUCUGGACCCGAGAGAGGGGAAGUUGUCAAACAAGCUGUCAAGAAAAGCCACUAGUGAGAUUAAUAGUGCCCGUACCGCAAACCGACACAGGUAGACGGGAUGAGAAUUCUAAGGCGCGCGAGAGAACCCUUGUUAAGGAACUCGGCAAAAUGACCCCGUAACUUAGGGAGAAGGGGUACCACGAAAGUGGGCACAGCAAAGAGGCCCAAGCGACUGUUUAGCAAAAACACAGGUCUCUGCUAAGUCGUAAGACGAAGUAUAGGGGCUGACGCCUGCCCGGUGCUGGAAGGUCAAGGGGAAGUGUUAGGUGAAAACCAAAGCAUAGAACCUAAGCCCCAGUAAACGGCGGCCGUAACUAUAACGGUCCUAAGGUAGCGAAAUUCCUUGUCGGGUAAGUUCCGACCUGCACGAAUGGCGUAACGACUUGGGCACUGUCUCAACAAGGGACUCGGCGAAAUUGUAGUACCAGUAAAGAUGCUGGUUACCUGCGACAGGACGGAAAGACCCCGUGGAGCUUUACUGUAGCCUGAUAUUGGGUUUUGCUAAAGGAUGUACAGGAUAGGUGGGAGGCUAAGAGCUUGGUACGCUAGUAUCAAAGGAGCCGCAAGUGGGAUACCACCCUUUCUUUAGCGGAAUUCUAACCAGAGGCCAUAAACUGGUCAUGGGACAUUGUCAGGUGGGCAGUUUGACUGGGGCGGUCGCCUCCCAAAAAGUAACGGAGGCGCCCAAAGGUUCCCUCAGUGCGGAUGGAAAUCGCACGAAGAGUGUAAAGGCAGAAGGGAGCUUAACUGUGAGACCAACAAGUCAAACAGGUACGAAAGUAGGGCUUAGUGAUCCGGCGGUAUUGAAUGGAAGAGCCGUCGCUCAACGGAUAAAAGUUACCCCGGGGAUAACAGGCUUAUCUCCCCCAAGAGUUCACAUCGACGGGGAGGUUUGGCACCUCGAUGUCGGCUCGUCGCAUCCUGGAGCUGAAGCAGGUUCCAAGGGUUGGGCUGUUCGCCCAUUAAAGCGGUACGCGAGCUGGGUUCAGAACGUCGUGAGACAGUUCGGUCCCUAUCCGUCGCAGGCGAAGGAUACUUGAGAGGAGCUAUCCCUAGUACGAGAGGACCGGGAUGGACACACCGAUGGUGUAUCAGUUGUUCCGCCAGGAGCAUAGCUGAGUAGCUAAGUGUGGAAUGGAUAAACGCUGAAAGCAUCUAAGCGUGAAACCAGCCUCAAGAUUAGGUAUCCCACUCGCAAGAGGUAAGCCCCCUGGUAGAUGACCAGGUUGAUAGGUUGGAGGUGGAAGUGUGGUAACACAUUAAGCUGACCAAUACUAAUAGGGCGAGGGCUUAAUCUU